UCGUUAAUUUGGGCGGAGCUGAUGCAGCGACGCCGCGUGAGGGAUGACGGCCUUCGGGUUGUAAACCUCUUUCAGCAGGGACGAAGCGUAAGUGACGGUACCUGCAGAAGAAGCACCGGCUAACUACGUGCCAGCAGCCGCGGUAAUACGUAGGGUGCGAGCGUUGUCCGGAAUUACUGGGCGUAAAGAGCUCGUAGGCGGUUUGUCACGUCGUCUGUGAAAU
rnacentral:rRNA from 1 species